GCGGGUGUAGUUCAGUAGUAGAACAUCCUCCUUCCAGGAGGAAGGCGCAGUGUGCGAUCCCUGUCACCCGCUCCG
rnacentral:tRNA from 1 species